UAAACUAAUAACUUACUAUUGCUUUCUGCCAAAACCCUAAGCUGACCCGAGAUGCAAAUGCUUCAUGUAUGUUAAAAUGUUCAUGAUAUGUAAUCUAUUACCUUAAUAGAAUAGAAUCUGAAUUUGUGCUACACCUUGGCUUUAUGGAAACCCCAAAUAUUCCCAAAGGCCGGUAUGCUGGGGUGCCAAUACUUUUGGAGGCGAGCGUACACGAGCAUAUGAUGUCAACCGAAUACCUGUGACGCAAUUCAUCUCAUUGUGCUGAGUGUUUUGAUAUGUCACAUGUCAAUGUUGUGGAAAGUUUUUUGAUUUUGCAUAUUUGGGGGUGGGGCUUCAGGAAAACUGAAAGGCCAGUCGGUACACCAAUUUAAAACUUUGUCCAGAGUAACUUCCUAAAGAAGCUGGCCGAGUCUAGUGUAGAUAGCUAAAACCUUGCCGAGUUAUAAACCUCUAAAAUUUAUAAUGGGUGUCUAUGCCAAAAAAAAGGCCAAUUUGGAUCACUUAGAAAAGUAACAGCAACCAACUUCAGCCAAAGUUCUACGACAUUCCCAAUUUUGGUGCAUGUGGCUCGAAAGCCCUAGGAGGAGUAGCAGUUAUGCUGGGUUGCAGAAGGUUUAUAGGCUUGUAGAAGACUUUUCUACAUUUGCUUUUAGAAUCGGAAUACCAGCAUUCCCGGUACGGAAUCUCAAAGUGGCUUAUUUUUACAUAGGACCCCAUUCAAAGGUUUGGAGGUUUAUAACUCUGCAAGCUUUAGAGCGAUUUACACCAACUUGGUCAGCUUCUUUAGGACUUUACUCUGGACGAAGUUCUAAUUCGGGGUACGGAUGGACUUCGGUUUUCCCAUAGUGGGCGAUCGAGCAUCCCAAAAAUGCCAUAGACUUGAAUGCGGAAUUCUUAAAAUUCCUCUAAGCUCUCAUACAUGCUACAUGCGCAGAGCUCAGGCACCAUUUCUCUAGUGCUCUCCUAGUCACUGUAGAUGUAAAGGAGACUCUGAACAGAUGUACCUAUCCACUCCACACUUUUCCAGAUUCCAAAAUUUGGAACAAAUUCGACAUGAAGAAUUGCAUGUACUGUGAUAUAAUGAGAAUCCCAUAAUGACUGCAGAAUUAACAUGAAAUGUCCAAACCCUCACUAGCCACCUUUCUCCAAAAGUAUUGGCACCCCACCGUGUAUUCUGGUUACAUCACUCGACACCACGUGACGUCACAUGCAGCCCCGUCCCCAACAUUAAAAGGCAUCACAGAAUUACUACGACAUGGACAUGUGAUCUAAACACUCAGCACAAUGAGGGGAACUGCCUCGUGGGUAUUCUGCUGACAUCACGUGACAUGUAUUCUGCUCAUAUUUUGGGUCCAAAAAUGGUAAUCCCGAUGCCCUCUCAAACCUACACUCCCCAGAAGAAUUUAGCACCAAAGUCCUUCCCAUGUCAGUGACUGUUCGCAUUCUUCAACUGGACAUCAAGAGGAGGGUCUGACAGGCCACAUCUGGGCAAACCACUCCCAGCAAUUUCCUGAAAACCGACUUUUUGUUCCUAACAAUCUGUGCUCCCAGGAUCUCCAGGGGUGUCAUAGUUCGCCUCUGUUUUGUCACCCCAGUGUGUCCUGCAACUUGGCUACCAUUCAGCAGUGUUUCUGGUGGCCCAUCCUCCGCCAGGACAUCCGCCAGUUUGUGGGGGCAUGCACCGCCUGUGCCCAACACCAGAGUUCUAAUCACAACUCCACAAAGCCACAGGCAUAUCUCCGUUUAAAGCCUCUUAUGGCUUACCAACAACCUCUUAUUUCAUCCGAAGAAUUGAAGCUUCGGUCCCCUCUGCUAUCAACCCUAGUCAAGCGUUGUCGUCAAAAAGUCGUCACGGAAAAGAGCCUAUGAGGUUCUUCUUAGGUCCUCUCAGAACUAUGACAAUAAGCGGUGCGAUGAAGAUUUUGGACCUCCACUGAGAUGAGGCCGACUCUGUGAGAAUCCUGAGGCAUCUACAGAUCUACCAGCUCCAGUUAGACUCUGCGAUACUAAACAGGAGAUACCGACUCCAUGCAGUCUUUUGCAUCAAUACAACAUUUGUCAGACUGUAUAUUUAUAAGCACACACCCCAGUGUCACCCAUAUGAGGAUGGGUUCCCCGUUGAGUCUGGUUCCUCUCAAGGUUUCUUCCUUCCGUUCAAGGGAGUUUUUCCUUGCCACUGCUGCCUGAGUCACCUCAGACUUGCUCAUUGGGGAUAAAUACAUACACAUUUAAAUAUAUCUAAUUUUAAUCUUGAAUUUUGUAUUAUAAUUAUAAUGCCAAUGUUUUUGUUAAUGCUCCAUGGGACUUUGUUUCUCGCAUGUAAACAAAGCAAAGUGUUGUAAGUGCCAUAACAUCAGCGUUCACUAAUGAUUAUUAGCCUUGUCACAGAUCACCAGUUUCUCCUAAAAAGAAAAAGAAUGUGUCUACUACUACCACUUGGACAUUAUAUAGAUUAAUUCACCACUGUGAGUCUAUUUUCUAUGGUAUUUCUUUUAACACGUGCUAGUUAUUUCAGUUAUUUCAUGUUAAUUUGGUCUUAAUACAAUUUAAUUCAAUAAAACUGUAGUAUAGACGUGAGCUAAGGAUAAA